CCUACGGGAGGCAGCAGUGGGGAAUAUUGGACAAUGGGCGAAAGCCUGAUCCAGCCAUGCCGCGUGUGUGAAGAAGGCCUUCGGGAUGUAAAGCACUUUCAGUGGGGAAGAAAGCCUUGGGGCUAAUACCCUCGAGGAAGGACAUCACCCACAGAAGAAGCACCGGCUAACUCCGUGCCAGCAGCCGCGGUAAUACGGAGGGUGCGAGCGUUAAUCGGAAUUACUGGGCGUAAAGCGCGCGUAGGCGGUCUGAUAAGCCGGUUGUGAAAGCCCCGGGCUCAACCUGGGAACGGCAUCCGGAACUGUCAGGCUAGAGUGCAGGAGAGGAAGGUAGAAUUCCCGGUGUAGCGGUGAAAUGCGUAGAGAUCGGGAGGAAUACCAGUGGCGAAGGCGGCCUUCUGGACUGACACUGACGCUGAGGUGCGAAAGCGUGGGUAGCAAACAGGAUUAGAUACCCUAGUAGUC
rnacentral:rRNA from 1 species